GUACUCGCUUUGGCAGCACAUAUACUAAAACCGGAAUGAUACGAAGAAGAUUAGCAUGGCUCUUGCACCAGGAUCUUGCACAAAUUCGUGACGUGUUAAAAUAAUAA
ensembl:snRNA U6 U6 spliceosomal RNA